rnacentral:misc_RNA from 1 species
GAAAUGCGAUACGUAGUGUGAAUUGCAGAAUUCAGUGAACCAUCGAAUCUUUGAACGCACCUUGCGGCCGCCGGUAAUCCGGCGGCCAUGCCCGUCCGAGCGUCGUUUCGACCCUCGGGACCCCUCAACUUGCGAAAGCGAGCGAGGGGGCCCCGGCCUUGGGCCAGCGCCUGUCGCCCUCCCCGCUCGGGGUGGUGCGCGGCGCGGCCCGUAGACCAGCGGCGGCAGCACCGGCGAUGUCCCCUGCGCAGUAAACAUAACGCUCGCAUUGGUCUCCCGGCGCGGCCCGCCUCGAAACAUAAACUUUUUUUAGUUCGACCUCGGAUCGGGUAGGGAUACCCGCUAAACUUAA